ACACUUAUCUAAAAACGUUUACAAUUUUUUGAAGUAUGUUAAAUGUGAUUAGUAUAGUUAUUUUAGUUUAAGUAUGGUAAAAACGAAUAAAAGUAUGUAAUUUUUGUAUUUCAGUGCGCUAAAAUCACUACUUAAAUUUUAAAGUACUGUUCAGUGUACAGAAAACACUUAAAUGUCCAAAAAUAAGUACUCUUCAACCGCUGUGUUUUAUCUCGUUGUUUUUUUCUUAGACUGGGUUAGUUGUCUACAUAUUGUCCUUGUUGGUACAGACAACCAGCAUAUUGUACACAUUAUGUUGUUUGAUCUUAUUAAGACAAGAGUUAUGUGUGCAUUGAUUAAAUUUCUUGGUCUUGCUUUGAUUUUCCUGUUAGUGGAUUUAGGUCGGAAUACAAAUCAUCUAGUUUGGUGCAGUUCAACUUCUAUGACGAUGCAAAAGUGCCAUUUUGACCGGGAUGACUAUUUCAACCGUAAUUAUUUACAGCUAAAUGACUAUGGCCGAAGCCCAAAAUUGGUUAAGGAAUAUUCCCAGAUAGACUUGGUCCAUUGUUUUGAUUUUCUAUCAGAAAAAAGAAAUCGACGACCAAUGCAUAUUGCCUUUAUCGGCGAUUUAACAGUUCGCCAAUUUUAUUUUUACUUUCCUUGGGUUGAUUCCAGACUACGAUAGGGCAAAAAGUAUCAAGAAGACGGCCUUCGCACAAUUUGUUUUUCAUGAUGACGGGAAUGUAACGAGUCGUAUUGUAGACAACCUUCUUGUCUCCUUUUACUGGCGAAAUUUAAUAAGAAAUGAUCUGAUAGCCGACUUUAAAAGAUGGGCUUCUACGGAAAAUAUCAACCAAGUACCCGACUUCAUCUUCUUCGAAAAGGUUGCCGAUCAUGUUGCUGUAGUUAGAAUCAGAGUUGAAAGAAGCUCACCGAUUUUGGAGCGCGCUCAGAGCUAUCCGCUCACACCCGUAAAACGAGUGCGGAAGGCGAGCGCGCUCGCGUUUUUUGGUGAGCGGCGAGCUAGAGCCGCUCUAUUUUAAAAAUCACGAGCUAGAGCGGGAGCGGAUGAGUCACGAGCGGAAGCUCGUGACCGUGGCACCAUCUAUCAGCCAAUAUUUUCACCAAGUGUAAUUCGUCAAUUCCAAAGCAGAAAACAGGAGGCUGACCUCUAAAUCUAAGGCAAUGGAAAUGGCAAGUGCAAAUAUAAGUCAAGGCAUGGCUGACCAAAUCACGCUAUCAGCCUCUGAUGGCUCUGAAUCUGAAUCAGAAUCAAAUCAUGCAAAUUCCUCUUGAAAAUGGAAACACCGGGGGAAAAAACCAACAAGCUGAAAUGAAUCUAGAAUUAAAUUGCCAUCCAACUAUUUCUAAUUCAUGUACGACAAAAAAGAUGGCAAAGGCUUUUUAGUUAAAUGCCUCAUAGGUCACAAGACAAAGCCAAAGUUUAAUAAAAAAGGCGAGAUUGAACUUCUGACUAUUACCAACAAUUCUGGCUACAAUUCCAAGAGGCACAUAGGAACAAUACACCCUACACACCUAACAGAAUUUAACUCUGCUUGGCAAAUAAGAAACCAAGAACCAAGCGUAGAGAGACAGUCAUCUAAUCCUGUUCAGGCUAGACUCUCUACCACGAGAAAAGUAAAAAAGACUAAUAAGUCUUCUAUAUAAAGAAUCAUUUGGAUAGUUCUUGGAAGUAUAAGCAGAUUAGAACACAGGAAGAUUUGAACAAAGCUAUCCUGAUGAGUAUUUCUUUACAUUAGUCAUAGUCUUUUCUCAUCUCAUCUCAUCCCCAACUAAAUAAAAUUAUUCUUAGUUAGUCUUUACUCUUUCAAUUUAACUUUUAAAGUUAACAAGAUUUUCAAGUUAAAGUAAAUAAAAAUUCAAUUUUUUAAAAAAGCUUUAACUGAAAUUCAAAAAUGUGAAGUACUACAUGUAUUCAAUUAUAAUACACCUGUUAAAAUGGAAUAUGAAUAUGAUAAACGGAAAUUUUCAGUGAACGUCCAGCGACAAAAUUUUGAAGGCUGAAAAAGAGCUUUUGCGAGUGGCUCGCGCUCUUUUUUUCAAAUGGUGAGCGGAGAGCGCGAGCUGCUCGUUUUACGGGUGUGAGCGGAUAGCUCUGAGCGCGCUCCAAAAUCGGUAAGCUUCUUUCAACUCUGUCUUUAAGUUCUAUUGAUAAUGGUUUGUUCUAAAAAGAAAAGAAAAAAAUUUGCUGUUUUAAAAACAACAAAGAAUAAAAUACUCUGUCAGAAUACUCAAAUAUAAUCACAUUUGCAGAAAGACUAGAAUCUUACUUUUACCGUCAACAAAAAGAACGGUCAAGAAAUUUUGACAGGUAUAAGAAAUCUGUCUACUUCCAAAUGGGAUGAGUCAAAGAAGAUUUUGUACCAGGCCAAUAUCUACUUGAUGUGGGGGAAAAGCGUUUUGGCGACCUUUCUACUAGAUUUCGGCUAAAUUGUAGUUGUUUUUUAGUCCAACUAAAUGAUCUCCAACUUAAACCAUUUUGCCGUUAAUCGUCUUCGUUCUCAGCUCAACUCUUCUCAGCAUGAUUUUACGUUUGCGUUAACACUGAUAAAUUGUGGUUGCGGUUUUCGUACGCAAAUAUUUUCUAAUACCGGUGGAAGAGGGACGUACGUUUUUUACCGACGAAAAUCCGUUUUACAUUUUAGAAUACGAAAAUCGUUGGGGUUUUUUUCAGACGAUAAUAGUACUACUUUUAUUUGAAUGAAAUUUCAUAAAAAUUUUAGUUUUUUGAGGAAAUAGCUACCUAUAGAUAAUCUCAAACCCGAGUCUCAAACCCAAGUCUCCCGCAUCGCAAUCAGAAAUCAGUCCACGAUGCCAACCAUUGUUAAACAUAUGUGUCCAACGCCAUCUGUGUGCAUAAUGGGCAACCAUGUACAGCCCUUGUACGUGGCUCUAUUGCUUUUUUGUUCUGCUACCGUACACAUGUUUUCUCUCUCUCUCUGCAUCUCUCUAUCAAAGUAGUGAUCUCCAACUAUUCAUUCAGGUACUUAAUAAAAGAUCAUAAGUGUGUUUCUCAAUUGUGUUAUAGCUAAUUCAAACAGGUUAUGGGCCCAGGUUAACCGAUAUUUUUUUCUUAGUAAGUUAAAAAAAAAAAAAAAACACCAAACUCAACCACGUUGAACAACUCAGUGGCACAAUUGUUCUUCUGCCUCCCAUUGUAGAAUCGAAAUAGUAGAGACUUAAGGGACGUUACUACUAUGACUGAAUCAAAAAUUCCCAAACUUAGCCAUAUCGAGCAGUUCAAUGGCACAAACUUUCAAUUGUGGAAGUACAAUUGCUGGCUCGUUCUUGACCAAAGUGAUUUACUUGA
rnacentral:lncRNA from 1 species